UACGAAGGGGGCUAGCGUUGCUCGGAAUCACUGGGCGUAAAGCGCACGUAGGCGGACUCUUAAGUCGGUGGUGAAAUCCUGGAGCUCAACUCCAGAACUGCCUUCGAUACUGAGAGUCUCGAGUCCGGGAGAGGUGAGUGAACUGCGAGUGUAGAGGUGAAAUUCGUAGAUAUUCGCAAGAACACCAGUGGCGAAGGCGACUUACUGGACACAUAUUGACGCUGAGGUGCGAAAAGCGUGGGGAGCAAACAGG
rnacentral:rRNA from 1 species